ACCAGCGUGGCAUACAGGUUUGUGCGCUGGACUACAAAUCUGGAGACCAGGGUUCGAUUCCUUGCUUGGCC